rnacentral:rRNA from 1 species
CGGGGAAUAUUGGACAAUGGGCGCAAGCCUGAUCCAGCCAUGCCGCGUGGGUGAUGAAGGCCCUAGGGUUGUAAAGCCCUUUCAGUUGGGACGAAGCUUCACCGGUUAACAGCCGGUCGGAGUGACGGACUUCAGAAGAAGCCCCGGCUAACUAC